GCGUCGGUGGUGCAACGGUCUAGCACAUGCUCCCGGAAAGAGUAAGAUCUGAUUUCGAAUCCCGGCUGAGGCA